GAUCCUGGCUCAGAGUGAACGCUGGCGGCGUGCCUAAUACAUGCAAGUCGAACGGACAAGUAAGAGCUUGCUCUUAUGAGUUAGUGGCGCACGGGUGAGUAAUGUAUAGCUAAUCUGCCCUACACUAGAGGACAACAGUUGGAAACGGCUGCUAAUACUCUAUACUCCUCUCUAGCAUAAGUUAGAUAGGGAAAGUUUUUCGGUGUAGGAUGAGGCUAUAUUGUAUCAG
rnacentral:rRNA from 1 species